rnacentral:rRNA from 1 species
AGAGCUUGCUCUCGGGUGACGAGCGGCGGACGGGUGAGUAAUGUCUGGGAAACUGCCUGAUGGAGGGGGAUAACUACUGGAAACGGUAGCUAAUACCGCAUAACGUCGCAAGACCAAAGUGGGGGACCUUCGGGCCUCAUGCCAUCAGAUGUGCCCAGAUGGGAUUAGCUAGUAGGUGGGGUAACGGCUCACCUAGGCGACGAUCCCUAGCUGGUCUGAGAGGAUGACCAGCCACACUGGAACUGAGACACGGUCCAGACUCCUACGGGAGGCAGCAGUGGGGAAUAUUGCACAAUGGGCGCAAGCCUGAUGCAGCCAUGCCGCGUGUGUGAAGAAGGCCUUCGGGUUGUAAAGCACUUUCAGCGGGGAGGAAGGCGUUAAGGUUAAUAACCUUGUCGAUUGACGUUACCCGCAGAAGAAGCACCGGCUAACUCCGUGCCAGCAGCCGCGGUAAUACGGAGGGUGCAAGCGUUAAUCGGAAUUACUGGGCGUAAAGCGCACGCAGGCGGUCUGUCAAGUCGGAUGUGAAAUCCCCGGGCUCAACCUGGGAACUGCAUUCGAAACUGGCAGGCUAGAGUCUUGUAGAGGGGGGUAGAAUUCCAGGUGUAGCGGUGAAAUGCGUAGAGAUCUGGAGGAAUACCGGUGGCGAAGGCGGCCCCCUGGACAAAGACUGACGCUCAGGUGCGAAAGCGUGGGGAGCAAACAGGAUUAGAUACCCUGGUAGUCCACGCCGUAAACGAUGUCGAUUUGGAGGUUGUGCCCUUGAGGCGUGGCUUCCGGAGCUAACGCGUUAAAUCGACCGCCUGGGGAGUACGGCCGCAAGGUUAAAACUCAAAUGAAUUGACGGGGGCCCGCACAAGCGGUGGAGCAUGUGGUUUAAUUCGAUGCAACGCGAAGAACCUUACCUGGUCUUGACAUCCACAGAACUUUCCAGAGAUGGAUUGGUGCCUUCGGGAACUGUGAGACAGGUGCUGCAUGGCUGUCGUCAGCUCGUGUUGUGAAAUGUUGGGUUAAGUCCCGCAACGAGCGCAACCCUUAUCCUUUGUUGCCAGCGGUUCGGCCGGGAACUCAAAGGAGACUGCCAGUGAUAAACUGGAGGAAGGUGGGGAUGACGUCAAGUCAUCAUGGCCCUUACGACCAGGGCUACACACGUGCUACAAUGGCAUAUACAAAGAGAAGCGACCUCGCGAGAGCAAGCGGACCUCAUAAAGUAUGUCGUAGUCCGGAUUGGAGUCUGCAACUCGACUCCAUGAAGUCGGAAUCGCUAGUAAUCGUAGAUCAGAAUGCUACGGUGAAUACGUUCCCGGGCCUUGUACACACCGCCCGUCACACCAUGGGAGUGGGUUGCAAAAGAAGUAGGUA